GACGAACGCUGGCGGCGUGCUUAACACAUGCAAGUCGAGCGGUAAGGCCCUUUCGGGGGUACACGAGCGGCGAACGGGUGAGUAACACGUGGGUGACCUGCCCUCAGCUCUGGGAUAAGCCUGGGAAACUGGGUCUAAUACUGGAUAUGACUCCACGGUGCAUGUCGUGGGGUGAAAGCCUUGUGCGGCUGAGGAUGGGGCCCGCGGCCUAUCAGCUUGUUGGUGGGGGAUGGCCUACCAAGGCGACGACGGGUAGCCGGCCUGAGAGGGCGACCGGCCACACUGGGACUGAGACACGGCCCAGACUCCUACGGGAGGCAGCAGUGGGGAAUCUUGCGCAAUGGGCGAAAGCCUGACGCAGCGACGCCGCGUGAGGGAUGACGGCCU
rnacentral:rRNA from 1 species